GACGAACGCUGGCGGCGUGCUUAACACAUGCAAGUCGAACGGAAAGGCCCUGCUUUUGUGGGGUGCUCGAGUGGCGAACGGGUGAGUAACACGUGAGUAACCUGCCCUUGACUUUGGGAUAACUUCAGGAAACUGGGGCUAAUACCGGAUAGGAGCUCCUGCUGCAUGGUGGGGGUUGGAAAGUUUCGGCGGUUGGGGAUGGACUCGCGGCUUAUCAGCUUGUUGGUGGGGUAGUGGCUUACCAAGGCUUUGACGGGUAGCCGGCCUGAGAGGGUGACCGGCGACCAGAGGACUGAGGUACGGACCAGUCUGGUACGGGGGGCAGCAGGCGGAAGUAUUGCACAGUGGGCGCGAGUCGGUGACGGAGGCGCCGGGGGCGGGAAGACGGCCUUCGGGUUGAGAACCGCUUUCGGCUAUGACGAAGCGGGUGUGACGGUAAUGAAUGAAGAAGCACCGGCUAACUACGUG
rnacentral:rRNA from 1 species